UACGUAGGGGGCGAGCGUUGUCCGGAGUUACUGGGCGUAAAGCGCACGCAGGCGGUCUGCUAAGUUUGGAGUGACAGUUGGUGGCUUAACUGCCAAAGUGCUUCGAAAACUGACAGACUUGAGGGCUUCAGAGGGACACGGAAUUCCGGGUGGAGUGGUGAAAUGCGUAGAGAUCCGGAGGAACACCAAAGGCGAAGGCAGUGUCCUGGGGAGUACCUGACGCUCAGGUGCGAAAGCCAGGGGAGCGAACGAG
rnacentral:rRNA from 1 species